rnacentral:rRNA from 1 species
CUACACAUGCAGUCGAGCGGCAGCACAAGGGAGUUUACUCCUGAGGUGGCGAGCGGCGGACGGGUGAGUAAUGCCUAGGGAUCUGCCCAGUCGAGGGGGAUAACAGUUGGAAACGACUGCUAAUACCGCAUACGCCCUACGGGGGAAAGAGGGGGACCUUCGGGCCUCUCGCGAUUGGAUGAACCUAGGUGGGAUUAGCUAGUUGGUGAGGUAAUGGCUCACCAAGGCGACRAUCCCUAGCUGUUCUGAGAGGAUGAUCAGCCACACUGGGACUGARACACGGCCCARACUCCUACGGGAGGCAGCAGUGGGGAAUAUUGCACAAUGGGGGAAACCCUGAUGCASCCAUGCCGCGUGUGUGAARAAGGCCUUCGGGUUGUAAAGCACUUUCAGUAGGGAGGAAAGGGUGAGUCUUAAUACGGCUCAUCUGUGACGUUACCUACAGAARAAGGACCGGCUAACUCCGUGCCAGCAGCCGCGGUAAUACGGAGGGUCCRAGCGUUAAUCGGAAUUACUGGGCGUAAAGCGUGCGCAGGCGGUUUGUUAAGCGAGAUGUGAAAGCCCUGGGCUCAACCUAGGAAUAGCAUUUCGAACUGGCGAACUAGAGUCUUGUAGAGGGGGGUAGAAUUCCAGGUGUAGCGGUGAAAUGCGUAGAGAUCUGGAGGAAUACCGGUGGCGAAGGCGGCCCCCUGGACAAAGACUGACGCUCAUGCACGAAAGCGUGGGGAGCAAACAGGAUUAGAUACCCUGGUAGUCCACGCCGUAAACGAUGUCUACUCGGAGUUUGGUGUCUUGAACACU